GAUGAGCGCUGGCGGCGUGCCUAAUACAUGCAAGUCGAGCGAAUGGAUUAAGAGCUUGCUCUUAUGAAGUUAGCGGCGGACGGGUGAGUAACACGUGGGUAACCUGCCCAUAAGACUGGGAUAACUCCGGGAAACCGGGGCUAAUACCGGAUAACAUUUUGAACCGCAUGGUUCGAAAUUGAAAGGCGGCUUCGGCUGUCACUUAUGGAUGGACCCGCGUCGCAUUAGCUAGUUGGUGAGGUAACGGCUCACCAAGGCAACGAUGCGUAGCCGACCUGGGAGGGUGAUCGGCCACACUGGGACUGAGACACGGCCCAGACUCCUACGGGAGGCAGCAGUAGGGAAUCUUCCGCAAUGGACGAAAGUCUGACGGAGCAACGCCGCGUGAGUGAUGAAGGCUUUCGGGUCGCAAAACUCUGUUGUUAGGGAAGAACAAGCGCUAGUUGAAUAAGCUGGCACCUUGACGGUACCUAACCAGAAAGCCACGGCUAACUACGUGCCAGCCGCCGCCGUAA
rnacentral:rRNA from 1 species